GGCGGCGUAGCUCAACUGGUUAGAGCGCUCGGCUCAUAUCCGGGAGGUUCGGGGUUCGAGUCCCUGCGCCGCUA
rnacentral:tRNA from 1 species